AAGCUGCAGCGUGGGGCGCUGUCUGGGAAGGCAGUAAUACAACAUCAUUUUACUAACACACCCGGGAGCAGCUUGACAUCUCGAGUUGGGCUGUGAUUAAAGUUGUAGGCUUCCUCCCCGCCCUCCCCCCGCUCCAACGCGGAGAACAGAUUCAACUCCAAGCAAUAGAUCUCGGUUUUCUUGCCAUCCCACUGAUACUCACAGUACACAGUUUGACACAAAGACCGGUCUGGAGAACCACAGAUCCUCCGCAGGAAGUACACAAAGGAAGCGUAGCCAGGCUUGCUGUCCCACAGCUGCCCAUUCUGGGGCCAGAUCUUGAACCUGGGCUCCCUGAGCCGCGCCCACCCCUGCACUCAUCCAGGGGGCAGGGCAGAGACACAGACCUCCAGACCACGGUCUCACGCCACCCUUCCCUCCCCUGGCCACUCUGCAGCCCUUCUUCAAGAUGGCAAGCCAGGGGGAGGGGGUGGAUGAAGGUGGUGGCAAAGUGAGAAGGCUCCUGGAAUAACAUGACAUUUAGAAAUAUGAA